ACAUGAUUGGUUUCUUAUGAGUUACUGCAGUGUCUUCCAUCCUUGAACUUAUUUGCAGAUGAUCACCUGCAGCUCUGCUCACCCUGGAUUAAUCAUGGAGAAGAUGAUUUGGGCACCUACUCUUCAUUCUCACCUGGAAGCACUGUCCAUGCAAAGUUCAAAACAAGCUUAGCUAUCUGGGAGACCACAUCAAUGACACCCCCAUUGGCACUUCUUCAAGCUGAAAGCUGGACACUUCAAUGGUGUGGAAAGAAGAAGCUCACCAAGUUCUUACUCUUACAAGGUAUCUGAGGGUUUAGGUAUUUUUACAAAGAGGAUCAGUGUCUCAGCAAAUGAUGUGUGAAAGGAUUUGUGGAGAGAUGUUAAAUGCACACAAUCGUUGCAUCAUUCUCCUGUGACAGGCUCCAUUCUGUGAAGUUUUUGCCCGGACUGAGCCAGAAAAGGAGUGCUUGCUUCUAAUUCUAAUACAACUUCACCAUCAGUUGACUCUCAUUGACUUUUGCCAUUGCCUAAGGCAAGCAUGUACCUCAUUGACACAGGAGCUGCAGAACCAAGCCCUCUUGUUUUUGAUGAAGUUACCAUCAACUACAACUGAGAGCAGAAGGGGGGAAAUGAAUGAAAAUUAAAUCUGCUACAUUAUGACUUAAUAUUUGCAAGGCAUACAUGUCUCCUCACAAGUAGAGAGUGUUGAAGCUUGGCAAACAACUAGUGGCAUGCACCUCCAAGUGGCAGCCACCUUUCUUCAACUGGAUGCAGCGCAUGCCGAGAAGGAGGCUGAUGCCGAUUCAUCUGAAUCAAAUGCUUCAGCUCAUGCAAGCUUCUUACAUGAUUAUGUUGGUUAUCUGUUGCCAGCUCUCGCUACAGCCUUUCAUAGUUUGAGUUCUUGCACUGCAACAGAAGAUGAGAAGAUCGAAAAGGCAGUUAGAUUCGAAGUUGACAUGGCGCUGGUGCUAUCAGCCAGUGAAUUCAAAUGGAGCCGAGCCUUGAGAAACAAGCUCGAGCAUCAUAGUCACAAGACGAAGCUUUGCCGAUCUCCUACAACAUCCAUUUUAUGAGUAAGUGCCAUGGCAUUAUCCGAAAGCUUCGUCCCUCCUGACCUUACUCGGUUGUUUCGAGGUCUGUAGCUCAUGUCGAUGCGCUCAGGUCUAGAAAUCCAACCCUGAGGAGCUGCAGCAACAAGAGUAGAGGCAGCGAUGGAUUCGACCCACGCAUGCGAACUCUGAGGAGGAUUUUGCCCGGAGGGAGCACGAUGGGUCUGCAUGAGUUGCUAUUUGAAGCCAAGAGUUACAUGGUUUGCCUACAGCUAUAGGUGAGCGUCCUCAGGGUUCUUGGUGAGAUCCACUGAGCUCUUCUUCCUCAAAGGCUUCAGUUUGAUACUGUACACAACAAUGUAAACGUAGUUCAGAAAGCUACUCUGUAAUUAUAAUUUGAGAAUGUAAGUUUGAUCAAUGUAACACGUUCAUCUAGUGAAUAAAAUUAUGCCUCAAAAGAAGUGGUUUUUAUGAA